rnacentral:rRNA from 1 species
CCCUUAGAUGCUCUGGGCCGCACGCGCGCUACACUGGUCGAUGCAACGAGUUUCUUUCCUUGGCCGACAGGCCUGGGCAAUCUUUGAACAUCGAUCGUGAUCGGGAUAGAUUCUUGUAAUUUUUGAUCUUAAACGAGGAAUUCCUAGUAAACGCAAGCCAUCAGCUUGCAUUGAUUACGUCCCUGCCCUUUGUACACACCGCCCGUCGCACCUACCGAUUGAAUGGUCCGGUGAAAUCUCCGGACUGGCGUGAGUCGGAGCAAUCUGACAAACACCGGAAAGUUGAUUAAACCUUACCAUUUAGAGGAAGGUGAAGUCGUAACA